CGACUAGGAUUGUGAUUUGAGGAACAAUAACACGAAAUUGGAUAAGAGGAAGCGAGCGAAAGAGGCAAAUUUGGUUCUAAUUCGUUUCUUGAAGUGUAGUACUAAGUGAUUUUUGCUUCAUUUAUACAAAGGGAAACGGAAAAGGGCAUAUGUGGAUUUUGAACAAGAGUAGGGUUAUGGGCUAAGGACAGAUCCUGUUUGGCGGAGUCGCUACUGUACUAUACAUCAUCAUCUUCUACACGUUUUGAGAGAACG
rnacentral:misc_RNA from 1 species